rnacentral:lncRNA from 1 species
CGCCGCGUUAACAGUCUUCACCCGGGGUGUCCAGAACUUGAGGGCGGGUCCAUUAGGAACUAAAUUAAGAAACUGAGUCCUGGAGUGAACCGACGGUCGUCCCACCAAACAAGAAGGCUGGAUUUGAGGCGGUCGCACUCCCCCGGGCUUCCUGAAAUAAAAAGCAGCGCCCCGUUCGCAGCCCAUCGGCAACAAGCAGCACCCGUCUGCCCAGCCGCCUCCCCCGGCGGCGCCCGGCCCCGCGGCGACUAGCCUACCGCACCUGCGGCUACCCCCAGUCCCGGCAACCACCCCGCCCUAGCCAGGCCGCACCAGCCGCGCCGCGGUUCCGGGCCGUAGUGCCAGGAGGCGCGCGCGCCCUCCCUCAGGGCUGUAGCUACCAAGCGGGGGAGGAAGACCCCCCAGGUGAACCCUGGAGGCCCCUCGCCUCAGAAAGGGGCCCUGUAGCCCAGCUGCAGCCUCUCCGCAGACCGCCAGUCUGGCUCUGAGAGGCCGGCCGCCGCUGGCUGCCCUCCCGCAGACACCCCGGUGGUCAGGACCGCCGUCGCCCCUCCGCCCCCGAGGACUCAGACUCUGACCGGUUCCUCGCCUUUCGGCCGGUCCCGGAGCUGUCACCCCCGGUACCUCUCGGCGAACACUGGAAGCAGCCAGCAGUGGCUAACCCCGCGGUCCCUCAGCGGCGGGCGGCGCAGCGCACUCUCCAGCGCCGGCGUCUCCUCCAGCCACCAGUCUCUGCCGCAGCUCACAACAAAGGAAACAUGUGACCGUCCGGGCCAAAACACUGAGCGUCAGCGAACCCUGGCCAAUCCGGGUGGGCGUCCUCCGCCCCGGGGAACCCUGGGAGAUGUAGUUCACGCUUCCCGGUGGCCUCCGGGGCCACCUGGGGCUCCCGCCGUGGGGUGGGUGUCGGGUGCCCAAGAGGACGAGACCCACCCAAAGGGCUGCUGACUCAAAAACACCUUGUUUUAAGCAGAGACAGUUAAAAAAAUGCCUCUUGUGUAAGGAGC